rnacentral:rRNA from 1 species
UAAAGAUUCAUCGCUGAUAGAUAGGCAUGCGUUCCAUUAGGCAGUUGGCGGGGUAACGGCCCACCAAACCGACGAUGGAUAGGGGUUCUGAGAGGAAGGUCCCCCACAUUGGUACUGAGACACGGACCAAACUCCUACGGGAGGCAGCAGUGAGGAAUAUUGGUCAAUGGGCGUAAGCCUGAACCAGCCAAGUCGCGUGAGGGAUGAAGGUUCUAUGGAUCGUAAACCUCUUUUAUAAGGGAAUAAAGUGCGGGACGUGUCCCGUUUUGUAUGUACCUUAUGAAUAAGGAUCGGCUAACUCCGUGCCAGCAGCCGCGGCAAUACGGAGGAUCCGAGCGUUAUCCGGAUUUAUUGGGUUUAAAGGGUGCGUAGGCGGCCUUUUAAGUCAGCGGUGAAAGUCUGUGGCUCAAUCAUAGAAUUGCCGUUGAAACUGGGAGGCUUGAGUAUGUUUGAGGCAGGCGGAAUGCGUGGUGUAGCGGUGAAAUGCUUAGAUAUCACGCAGAACCCCGAUUGCGAAGGCAGCCUGCCAAGCCAUGACUGACGCUGAUGCACGAAAGCGUGGGGAUCAAACAGGAUUAGAUACCCUGGUAGUCCACGCAGUAAACGAUGAUCACUAGCUGUUUGCGAUACAGUGUAA